rnacentral:rRNA from 1 species
UACGGAAGGCAGCAGUGGGGAAUAUUGCACAAUGGGCGAAAGCCUGAUGCAGCUAUGCCGCGUGUAUGAAGAAGGCCUUAGGGUUGUAAAGUACUUUCAUCGGGGAGGAAAAAAACAAAACUAAUAAUUUUAUUUCUUGACGUUACCCGAAAAAGAAGCACCGGCUAACUCCGUGCCAGCAGCCGCGGUAAUACGGAGGGUGCUAGCGUUAAUCAGAAUUACUGGGCGUAAAGAGCACGUAGGUGGUUUUUUUAAAGUCAGAUGUGAAAAUCCCUGGGCUUAACCUAGGAACUGCAUUUUGAAACUGAAAUACUAGAGUAUCGUAGAGGGAGGUAGAAUUCUAGGUGUAGCGGUGAAAUGCGUAGAUAUCUGGAGGAAUACCUGUGGCGAAAAACGGCCUCCUAAACCGAAUACUGACACUGAGGUGCGAAAGCUGGGGAGCAAACCAGGGAUUAGAUACC